GACGAACGCUGGCGGCGUGCUUAACACAUGCAAGUCGAACGGAAAGGCCCUGCUUUUGUGGGGUGCUCGAGUGGCGAACGGGUGAGUAACACGUGAGUAACCUGCCCUUGACUUUGGGAUAACUUCAGGAAACUGGGGCUACUACCGGAUAGGAGCCGCUGCUGCAUGGUGGGGGUUGGAAAGUUUCGGCGGUUGGGGAUGGACUCGCGGAUUAUCAGCUUGUUGGUGGGGUAGUGGCUUACCAAGGCUGUGACGGGUAGGCGGCCUGUGAGGGUGACCGGCCACAUUGGGACUGAGGGACGGCCCAGUCUCCUACGGGGGGCAGCAGGGGGGAAUAUUGCACAAUGGGCGGAAGUCUGAUGCAGCAACGCCGCGGGCGUGAUGACGGCCUUCGGGUUGUAAACCGCUUUCGCCUGUGACGAAGCGUGAGUGACGGUAAUGGGUAAAGAAGCACCGGCUAACUACGUG
rnacentral:rRNA from 1 species